GUGGAAACAAAGAUGUACGUGCAGCUUGUUAAAGCUUGUGAAAUAAUUUUCAUCAUACAUUAGCAUCCAUGCUUCCAGACAGGGGCCCUGUGGUUGCUGAACAUUUGAACCAAGAAUGUAUGUAUUUGCUCAGAGUACUGAUGCUCUAAGAAAGGGAGAGUUUUUAGUCAGAAGCAUUUUACUGGAACAGUGACAGUGAGGUCUAGUCCCUUUGUGUGGUGCUCAACACUCUGCUUUCACCCCCUGCAGGUGAUAGGUGUGUGUGUGUGUGUGUGUGUGUGUGUGUGUGUGUUUGCCUGCUGCUCUGAGCUCUGCUGUUACUUCCCCAGGGCAUUGUGAGCUUGCCAAACAAUUACUUGCUUUUAUGGUGCAAGAGUCAUGGCUGCUGCUGUGUUUCAGGUGCUAGAUUUGGCAGUCAGGAACCAAGCGUGAACAAAAGCCAUGCGUGGAGCAAAGCGUGGCGUUGUUCCCCCUCAGACGACACAAAGAUGUUAAAUCUACACGUUGCACAGAAGAUGAAGCGUGAUUUGACAGAGAAGAUGACUGACAGGCCAGCAGCACAUACGUGUGCAGCGGGUAUGCCACAGAUGGCUUGGUGCCCUACACAUGGAGGCCGCCAUCUGUUUGCUGAAGCUUGUUUGCCACAGCUAUCUGAACAGUCUGCAGCCAUUUCAAUCUGUUCCACCACAGUGUGUCCUGCUUCAAGGAAAUUGUUGGCGGAUGUCAGAGUGGUGGCAAAGACAGCCGAGCAAACCUCUGAAUACCAAAACGCUGGAGUCACAGGAGUGACAGACAAGUGGUACAGCCUGAACACAAGCAGGUAUUAUUCAUUUGGGCAAUUGUGUAACUUUUUCAUCCUGGAAAGAGAGAGACAAUCCUGUAAAACAAAACCUUUUUUUUAAUCGAAUUUAUUUUCAUUCGCUGCAUUUUUGAGGCGUUUCAGAGUGAAGUGUCUCAGUAGUGUUGCCACAAAACAGCAUGAAUGACAUAAUAAAUAAAUAAUUUAUUUUUC
rnacentral:lncRNA from 1 species